CGCUCUUGACAAAACAUAAGAGGUCCAGCCUGCCCAGUGACAAAGUUCAACGGCCGCGGUACCCUAACCGUGCGAAGGUAGCAUAAUCACUUGUUCUUUAAAUGGGGACUCGUAUCAACGGCACUACGAGGGCUAUACUGUCUCCUUUUUCUAAUCAAUGAAACUGAUCUCCCCGUGAAGAAGCGGGCAUCAAAAUAUAAGACGAGAAGACCCCAUGGAGCUUUAAACUCACUAUGCACCUCUGUGCCCCUACCACAUAACACAAGUAGUCCUGCAUAUUAGUUUUAGGUUGGGGGGACCACGGAGUACAAAUUAACCUCCACAACAAACGGGCUAACACCCUUACCCACGAGACACAACUCUAAGAAUUACUAAACUAAUGCUUACGACCCGAUAUUCGAUCAAUGAACCAAGUUACCCUGGGGAUAACAGCGCAAUCUACUUCAAGAGCCCAUAUCGACAAGUAGGUUUACGACCUCGAUGUUGGAUCAGGGUAUCCUGGUGGUGCAGCCGCUACCGAUGGUUCGUUUGUUCAACGA
rnacentral:rRNA from 1 species